AUACAGAGGGUGCGAGCGUUAAUCGGAAUUACUGGGCGUAAAGCGCGCGUAGGCGGCUUAUUAAGUCAGAUGUGAAAUCCCCGGGCUCAACCUGGGAACUGCAUCUGAUACUGGUAGCUAGAGUUUUGGAGAGGGAAGUAGAAUUUCAGGUGUAGCGGUGAAAUGCAUAGAGAUCUGAAGGAAUACCAGUGGCGAAGGCGACUUCCUGGCCAAAAACUGACGCUGAGGUGCGAAAGCGUGGGUAGCAAACGGGAUUAGAAACCCUAGUAGUCC
rnacentral:rRNA from 1 species